rnacentral:rRNA from 1 species
UACGUAGGGUGCAAGCGUUGUCCGGAAUUUAUUGGGCGUAAAGAGCUCGUAGGCGGUCUGUCGCGUCUGCUGUGAAAACUCGGGGCUUAACCCCGGGCCUGCAGUGGGUACGGGGCAGACUAGAGUGCGGUAGGGGAGACUGGAAUUCCUGGUGUAGCGGUGAAAUGCGCAGAUAUCAGGAGGAACAUCGGUGGCGAAGGCGGGUCUCUGGGCCGUGACUGACGCUGAGGAGCGAAAGCGUGGGGAGCGAACAGG